AGAGAGUUUGGCAAAGACGAUAGCUUUCUCUGCUCAGAAAUAUGUCUGAAAAGCAAGUGUGUUGCAGGACGGAGAGACUGUUCCUUGCUGGGCAUGCAGAAGAUUGGAGCUGCCCUCCAAACAGCACCCAAAACUGAGAGGCCUGUGGGCGGCYUCUUGCUUGAUGCUGCCCGACUCUCACGUAGAGGAGAAGAGCRUCUGAGCCGAGAAGAGCUGUCACCCAAGCACACCACGCGCCAGGGCCCGCCGUGUUGCACCCUUGCUGGUGCUCCUAGUGCUCCUAAUAGAUCGGGCUGUCACACCUGCCAUUGCCUGUAGCUGCACUUUCAUUUCCCAAACUAAGCAUUCAGAGGCGCGCUUCUAARUCAGGCUCACUUACCACAGCUAGGUUGGCCUUUCUCUGGCUGCCACUGAAAGCCUGAGAAUAUAUUUAUACCUCCUUGGUAUCCUUGGAUUGGAUUGGAUCUGUGAGUCUCACUGAUCCAGUAUCACACCGAUUUUGGUAACUCUCUUGGAAGAAAAAUGUGAUCAAGCAAAGUGCUUAGCUCAAAUUAUAUUGAUUUU